AGCAGCCGCGGUAAUUCCAGCUCCAAUAGCGUAUAUUAAAGUUGUUGCAGUUAAAAAGCUCGUAGUUGAAUUUCGGGAUCAAGUCGUCGGUCGUGCCUCGGUACGCACUGGUGACAUUGGUUUCUCCCUUCUGAAGAACCUUGAUGUCAUUAAUUUGGUGUCUUGGGGAAUCAGGACUGUUACUUUGAAAAAAUUAGAGUGUUUAAAGCAAGCUCACGCUUGAAUACAUUAGCAUGGAAUAAUGAAAUAGGACGUUUGAUUCUAUUUUGUUGGUUUCUAGGAUCGACGUAAUGAUUAAUAGGGAUAGUUGGGGGCAUUAGUAUUCAAUUGUCAGAGGUGAAAUUCUUGGAUUUAUUGAAGACUAACCACUGCGAAAGCAUUUGCCAAGGAUGUUUUCAUUAAUCAAGAACGAAAGUUAGGGGAUCGAAGACGAUCAGAUACCGUCGUAGUCUUAACCAUAAACUAUGCCGACUAGGGAUCGGAUGAUGUUAAUUUUUAAUGACUCAUUCGGCGCCUUAAC
rnacentral:rRNA from 1 species